CAUGUUCCUGAUCUAGGUGGACCUGCUUGAGCAGGAGGGUUGGACUAGAUGAUCUUUAGAAGUCCCUUCCAGCCCCUCCCAUUCUGCGAUUCUGUGAUAGUCUCAACUGUAUUCACAGUAAUUCCAAAAAAAAAAGGAUUCCUUCAAGCAGCAAUGUUCUAAAAAAUAACCUGGAAAUCAGACCUCUGGUCACAUAUACACACAUUGUGUUAAUACUUAGUUUAAGUUGCCAGAAAAUAUUCCAACUGCACCUUCAACUCAUCUCAUUAUUCAUGUCAUUUAUCUCAAGAUAGUAGUGAGAUGCUUGUUAGCCUGAAGCCCCAGUGUGCUGGAUGACAACAGAGUAACUAGUCAGUGAAAGCAGGUGGAUGAGAUUAAGUAGUUGGGGUGGGGAGACAAAGGUUAUCAAAACCAAAUGGGUGCAAUGCAGAUGUUAUCAAGGUCAUUCUUUCAACAACUGAAACAUAACAUCUCAGAUGGGCACAGUUAGCCAACAGGCUGUAAAAAUUCAUCCUGUCUACGUGGUAAGGAGUUACAGAAAUAAACCUCUCCAGGAAGAGGAAUGGAGGAAGCAUUGUUAGUGGUAAAGGCCACUCCACAUCUCUUUUUCCAUUACCAGAUGGGAGGACAAGGACUGCGUGAAGAACAGGAGGUUGAACAUGAAUCAUGUAGACAACAUCAACAAGCUUACGACUGAGGUGUGUUCCUUCAGAAGAAUACAGACAUAGGCUGACAUUACAAUUUUUCAAGUUAUUACUUUGCUCAAUUAGAUUGCACUUCACUGUAUGUGAAGUUCAGUAUCUCAACAAAAUGUAUUAAAAAUACUGUGCUAGUUGUAGAAAACUACAUGAUCUUUACAAGAAGGCAACAUCUUACUCCAAAGUGUGCUGGAAGGAAAAACAAAACCAAUUGUGAUGUCCUGUGCCAAUUGAUACAUCAUGUUUCUCCAGACAGAAGAACUGAUCUGCCUUUUCAACCCCACAGCUACUAAGUGGCUAGAGACACAUUGAAGAUUCAUUAGUAGAGAUGUUGUUUGCUGAUACCUCACACUCAAUCCAAACAUGAUUCCAUAACCAAGGAUUGACAAAGACAGGAUUUAAUCAAACGGACUUUUCUGUUAUCUUCCCACAAUCCUACAGCUGAAACAAGAAUGGGGAACUCACUCCUUGAACUGAUGCUGCAGGUGGACACUUAUCAACAUAUUUAAACAAUGAAAUAUACCAUGUUUGUGUGUAUGGGAGGACUGAAGUUUGUAUGGCACCCACAAAUGACUUGAGAGCAGCAGCAUUGAUGACAGCAGAAGGCAAAUCCUAUCUGUCUAUCUGAGCAAGUACCAUCAACCAUCCCAGAGCCUCAGGCAGCCCACGGCAGAGGCAGCACCCUGCAUGGCCAUGCACAGCGGCACACAGAGCCUCUGACCUUUAGCAAGAACUGUUCAAGAACUGACACAAUGGA